UGGGGAAUAUUGCACAAUGGGCGCAAGCCUGAUGCAGCCAUGCCGCGUGUGUGAAGAAGGCCUUCGGGUUGUAAAGCACUUUCAGCGGGGAGGAAGGCGUUAAGGUUAAUAACCUUGGCGAUUGACGUUACCCGCAGAAGAAGCACCGGCUAACUCCGUGCCAGCAGCCGCGGUAAUACGGAGGGUGCAAGCGUUAAUCGGAAUUACUGGGCGUAAAGCGCACGCAGGCGGUCUGUCAAGUCGGAUGUGAAAUCCCCGGGCUCAACCUGGGAACUGCAUUCGAAACUUGCAGGCUAGAGUCUUGUAGAGGGGGGUAGAAUUCCAGGUGUAGCGGUGAAAUGCGUAGAGAUGUGGAGGAAUACCGGUGGCGAAGGCGGCCCCCUGGACAAAGACUGACGCUCAGGUGCGAAAGCGUGGGGAGCAAACAGG
rnacentral:rRNA from 1 species